rnacentral:lncRNA from 1 species
AUGACAACUUCCAGAGCUCAGCUCGGCCUCUGGGGGCACAUCUUUGCUCAGGAGCAGCCAGUGUAUCUCCCGGAUGAAGAGGCCCUGACUGGUGCAGGAAGGGGACAGCACUGGCGAUGGCAAUCUCAUCUCACAGUUGGCGUCUCUCCCCUGACCGGCUGCUGGCCAGACUCCUGCCGUCCACUUGCAGGGCAUCUGAGUGAGGAUACCCCAGGUGGGACCUCCAUCGUCUGUCCUUGUUCCUCGGGGACCGUGAGGACAGAGGGCAGGUGGGCACCUCAGCCCGGCAGAGCAGGCCCGAGGCUGGCACAGAGAAGCCUGACUCCUCAUCUCAGCAUCCCUGUGUUUUACAUAAUUAGGGCCGCGGGCCUGGCUUCAUCAAGGAGACACGGCCGUCAGUAGACAGGCUGUCCUGAGCCCUGGGCUGGCCGGCAGCACCUCCCACACUGCUUUACCGGGUGAGGCGGCGUGGGGACAAGGAUGAGUGAACUGGCUGGGGCCCCCUGCCUCGCUACCCCAGGACCUCGGGGAACCAGGAAGCCCUGGGAAUGGGCCAAGAUGGCCUGAGGGCUGGGGCUCCAGGUCGUGAAGCACCCACAAGCUGGUCGUGG